GAUGAAGAACGUAGCGAAAUGCGAUAACUAAUGUGAAUUGCAGAAUUCAGUGAAUCAUCGAGUCUUUGAACGCACAUUGCGCCCCCUGGUAUUCCGGGGGGCAUGCCUGUCCGAGCGUCAUUGCUGCCCUCAAGCACGGCUUGUGUGUUGGGCUCCGUCCCCCCGGGGACGGGCCCGAAAGGCAGCGGCGGCACCGAGUCCGGUCCUCGAGCGUAUGGGGCUUUGUCACCCGCUCUGUAGGCCCGGCCAGCGCCAGCCGACAACCCAUCAUCCUUUUCAGGUUGACCUCGGAUCAGGUAGGGAUACCCGCUGAACUUAAGCAUAUCAAUAAGCGGAGGA
rnacentral:misc_RNA from 1 species